rnacentral:precursor_RNA from 14 species
AGCUGCCUCCCCCACGCCCGCCGCGUCCUGGGCUUGUUUUCAGUUGCCUGCGGGUUUAUUUGGACGACUCAGGCAGCUAAAGCAAGUCUGGGACGGGUGAGGAGACCCAGCCUGGGGGUC